rnacentral:rRNA from 1 species
UACGGAGGGUGCGAGCGUUGUCCGGAAUGACUGGGCGUAAAGGGCGCGUAGGCGGUGUACACAGUCAGAUGUGAAAUCCCCGGGCUUAACCUGGGAACUGCAUUUGUGACUGGCGAGCUAGAGUAUGGCAGAGGGUAGAAUUCCACGUGUAGCAGUGAAAAUGCGUAGAGAUGUGGAGGAAUACCGAUGGCGAAGGCAGCCCUGGGCCCAAUACUGACGCUCAUGCACGAAAGCGUGGGGAGCAAA